UACAGAGGAGCCAAGCGUUGUCCGGAUUGACUGGGCGUAAAGCGCACGCAGGCGGUUGCGCGCGUGGGGUGUGAAAUCUGGCCGCUUAACGGCCAGGCGCCAUCCCAUACGGCGCGACUGGAGUGAUGCAGAGGUCGAUGGAAUUGCCGGUGUAGUGGUGAAAUGCGUAGAGAUCGGCAGGAACACCCAGGGGGGAAACCAGUCGACUGGGCAUCUACUGACGCUGAGGUGCGAGAGCGUGGGGAGCGAACAGG
rnacentral:rRNA from 1 species